GAUGAACGCUGGCGGCGUGCCUAAUACAUGCAAGUCGAGCGAACGGACGAGAAGCUUGCUUCUCUGAUGUUAGCGGCGGACGGGUGAGUAACGCGUGGAUAACCUACCUAUAAGACUGGGAUAACUUCGGGAAACCGGAGCUAAUACCGGAUAAUAUUUUGAACCGCAUGGUUCAAAAGUGAAAGACGGUCUUGCUGUCACUUAUAGAUGGAUCCGCGCUGCAUUAGCUAGUUGGUAAGGUAACGGCUUACCAAGGCAACGAUGCAUAGCCGACCUGAGAGGGUGAUAGGCCACACUGGAACUGAGACACGGUCCAUGCUCCUGAGGGAGGCAGCAGUAGGGAAUCUUCCGCAAUGGGCGAAAGCCUUACGGAGCAACGCCGCGUGAGUGAUGAAGGUCUUCGGAUCGGAAAACUCUGUUAUGAGGGAAGAACAUAUGUGUAAGUAACUGUGCACAGCUUGACGGUACCUAAUCAGAAAGCCACGGCUAACUACGUG
rnacentral:rRNA from 1 species